UAUUUAUUUGUUGCCAGAGUGUCUUCCUAGGCUUUUCUAAUACAAACUCUUCUCUAUUUUUAAUUCUACUUCCUCUGUCUUUCCACAAUGUUUUCAUUUCCUCUAUGAAAUAGACUGUGGUCAUUCUCUGUCCCAAGACCUCUUAGAAUAAGAAAUUCAUUCUGUUUUGAGGCAGUAACCCUCUCUGAUAUGUGUAAUACACCAAAUCUAGCACAGUGCCUAUCAGAUAGAAUAAGCAUUUAUUGAUAAAUAAUUACUAAUUUGAAUGAAAAAAUGAAUAAAAUUGAAAUGUCCAUGUAAAAUGAUGUACUAAUCCCAGCUCUGGUUCUUUGGCUUUCUAUAUUCUGGAAACCUUUACAUCUACUUAAUUUCAGUACCUCUAUCCUUGCCACAUUUUGUAGUUUUCUUAAAUAUAAAAUUCAUGUGAGAUUACUGAUGCUAAAUUUAAAAGAUUGGAAAUGAAAAAAACUUACAGAAAGCAAGUUGAAUAAUUGUGUUUUCUAGUAUAAGCCACUGCAAUUUGAGUUUCAUUAUGAGUGUAAAUAGUUUGAUUAUAAAUAUUCUAUAAGGAAAAAAUAUGCCAUUUACAUUUGCAAGAUGUAUACAAAUGUAAUACAUCUGUUUAACAAAUUGGUGUCAGUAUAGGCUCGAUCUAGUAAUAAGAAUACACUGGCAUUAUAAUUUUGUCUCAUAGAGGCAAUACUUAUACUGACCUAUACAAAUAUAUAGAAAAGUGGAUAUUAUUAUGUUAUCAAAAAAUGGUGACUAGGUUUUCCAUGAUAAAUUCAUUUUAGGCUAUGGCUCAGAAGAUUUAAUUGUUAAAAUAUGAAAUUAAACAUUCUGAUGUAUGAAUUUGCACUAAGUUAAGGCCUGUGUUUGAAUCCAAAGUCUAUAAUCUACUAGUUGGGUAAUUUCAUUUGAUAUUUAGUAUCUCUGAGGGUAGGUGUAUAGUCUCGAGUAUGCAAAAUAAUUUCAAUCUCAUGAGAUAUUUGAAAAAAUGUAAGAAUGAACAGUAAGUAUAUAAUUAAGGACAUGUAGUCAGAGCCCAAUUAUUGGUACCUAUUGUUAUUGUUAAAUUAACCUACUGUUUAUUAAAUGGCUCUGAAUGAUUGGCCCUAUGUUAUUUCUCUUCCUAACAUCCUAACAUUCAAUUAACCCCAUUUUACAGAUGGAGAAAUUGAGGUUGAGAGAGAUUGAGUGAUUUUUCAGUGACUGGUUUAAGACUUUGAUAUGAACCACAGAAUUGUUCAUUCCUCUGUGUAAUUUAAUUUCCUGAAAGUAGGAUAUCUGUAUGUAUUUUUUCACUUUUGUAUUAAUUCUAACUUGGGCUCAAGUAAACUAUUUCAUUACUUCCCCCAGUAAUUUAUUCCUUUUUCUCUUGUAUUGCUACCUCUAACUUUUCUCCCUAGUAUUUUUUAUCUUUAUGUGGACUUAAAUUAAUUUCAUGUUUUGUCAUCAAUUUUGUGUCUUUGGCCAAGAAUUUUUAUUGGAUUCAGAAAAAAUUAAUAAUAAAUGGGCAAACAUAAAUACUAUAAUAUUCAUUUAUUUAAUUCUUAAUUUUCAUUUUUCCUUAAUCUUUGUAUUAGUUUUCCCUUCAAAGGCAGAGUUCAUAUCAGAUGGCAGCAUUGUUUUGGUAAAACAAGGAUUCUGUGAUCAGUGAGUUUUGUGUGAUUUGUUUAAUUGCUUUUUAUGCUUGCCUCCAUGCUUUUUCCUUUGAGAAUUUACUAAUCUUCUUGUUAUACAAAGCAAAGCUCUUGGUUAUGUUCUCUGAUUCUGUCACAGAGCAGUAUUGAAAUUAAGCUUUCUUGUUCAUUGAAUGUGACUCUUUUAUAGAUUGACUCACUGAAUGAUACCAUAUUAAUAAAAGUUAAGCUAACUUCUUUCAAAGAUAAUCAAAUUAGUCACUUCAAAAAUGAUAAUUAUAUAGCUAUAUAUUUAUCAUUCUGGUAAAUAUUAAUGCAUUUUAGAGAUAAACUUGUAGAAGACCAUAUACUUCAUAAACAGACAAGUGUUAUAUUCAUGUAUGUAUUUAUUUUAUUUAAAAAAUAAUAAAUUAUUUGAGAAAGAGCUCAAAUGUUCUUAUCUGUGACCAGGUUUAGACCUACACUGUCCAGUGUGAUAGCAUAUGGCAUAGAGGGCACACAUGUCUAUGAAGCACUUGAACUGUGGCGAGUAGAACUGAGAAGCUAAAUUUUUAACUCUAACUUAAAUUAAUUAAAAUUUUCAUAAAUGAAAGUAAUGUAAGUUUUUCCUAUUAAACACAACCUAGGACUAUAUUUCACUUUAACUCUUGGAAAUUUAGUGUUUCAAUUGAAAUGUGCUAUACAUUUUAAAAGUUUAUAUAUUUUGAAUCCUUAAAUGAAAAGUAGAAUGCAAGCUCUAUUAUUAACAAUUUUUUAAUUGAUUGUAUGUUGACCUGGUAAUACUUUAGAUAUAAUUGUUCAAAUAAAAUAUGUUAUCACAAUUAAUUUUACCUGUUUUGUACUGUGGCUACCAGAAAAUUUAAAAUUACAAAUGUGAUUUAUGUUAUCUUUCUAUCUGAUGGAAAUCAUUUAUAUAUGGAGCAUUAAUAAGCCAUCUCCCAAUUUAUCUCAGUUGAACUACUGAGGGCUAUACAUUUAGAUGAAAACAAUUAAUUUCUGAAAAAUAUCUUUUGUUCACUUCCUCUGGUAGUAAUUUAGUCAAAAAAUUCAAAAUUCUACAAUCAAAUAAAAUAAUAUACAGAACAGAAAAUAUUUUCCUUGUCAUGUGGGUGAGUCUUUCCCUCUUUUAUGUGCAUGAAUAAUAAUUAAAACUUGAGGAACAUGAGUUAAGGGCAUCUCAUUAACAGCUGUGCCUACCUUUAGAAGUGCAGACACCCCACAGACAUAGAGGUUGGAUAACCUUUUAAUUCAAAUAAUACACAAACCAUUUUUAAUUAAUAAUGAAGAAUAACUGUUUAAAUAUUCACUGAAGUGUCAGAAACAACUAUGUUUGUGUUUCGCAAUGUAUCUGUAUUCAUAUUCACUAUAAAACUAUAAUAUGGUAUUGCUGUAAAUGGAAACAAGAAAAAUUAAACUGAACUUUGAAAGUUUUUUUCAAAUAAAUUAUGAUGACUCUAUAUUCAUUUUUUUUAGAAAAUUUAGUGCAUAUCAACAAUGUCUAAUGAAUGUCUAUUGUAAAGCAAUCCAUGAGAUAUAUAUAUAUAUAUUUUUUUUUUGGCCACACCUAAUCUUGUGGAAGUUCCUGAGGGACCCAAGGAACUUCCACAGCAGGGACCCAAGCCACUGCAGUGACAACACCAAAUCCUUAACCCACUGCACCACAAGGGAACUCCUAGAUUUUUUAAUAUGUUUGUGAAUAAAAUAAUUAAUAUGCCUAAUUUCAUUACUUUUACUACAAAAUUUCAGUGAGACAAUAAUAUUCAUAGAUUAAUAUAUUUACAUUAAUCAGAAUUUAUUAUUCUGAUAAUUUAUUUUGUAAGUAAUAACUUCAUUAAGUAAUAAUUAUUGAGCAUGCUUUUAAAUAAUAAUAAUAAGCAAAAAGCAAUUUUUAAACUUUAUGUACAGCAUCGUACCUAUUAUUUCACCAUACAACAUGAAAAAUUUAAAAUAGUUUUGCUAAAUAUGUCUCAAAUCUAAAUUGUAAAUUGAUAGAUUGAAACUUUAAUAUAACCAAUGAUAUUUAAUUUUUUACCUGAGAUGCCAUGUAUACACCUGAACACUCUAUUACAUUCUCAGGUUUAACAAGUCAUUAUUUACUGUUAUAAUGAAUCAACUUAUUAAGGUAUCAGGAAGUUAGUGAAUUGAAGUGAGCUGAGAAGAGGGAACUUGUAAGGGCUCAUCUAUACCCUGGGGCUGGAUACUCUUUGGUUGUGAAGACCUUUCAUUAAUAUAUGCUAUGCUACAGUGCACCUCAUUUUAGUUUAUGUACAUUUUUCUGAAACAUUUUGCUUAGUUUUAUAAAUGAAUCAUUGAGCAGGUCAAAAACGAAUAAAUUAUCAAAUUUAGCUAUUGAAAAAGCAUUCAGUUUUAGAAAUGUACAGAUUAUGAAUCAUCAAACAACUAUCAUGACAAACUAUGUAUAUUUGUUACAUGACACUCGUAAAUUGUGUCUAUUCUAUUUCUUGAUUAUUUGAGCACAGAUUUCUGAGGCAUCUAUUUCAUCUCAUAUGCAUAUUAGAUCUGUUGUGUAUGCAUGUAUGUGCAUGUGUUUAAGAUGUUUGAUAUCAUGACUACAUGAAUAUCAUUCUUGAUGUUUGUCAUGAUAGAAAUAUGAAAUAUCUUACCUUAUAGGUGCAUUUGUUGGAGAAGAAUACAUUAAAUGGUGGGUAUAUGUUUCUGCUAUAUUUAAUCUCUUCCAAAAUAUUGCCAUCAGUUUUGUGGCAAAUGAAAUAUGGAAUCAAAAGUCAUCAGAUAUCAGUAAAUUCCUGACCCCUAAUUGAGUAGAUUUACUGGCUCACAGAUGGAGUGAUUUGUCUUUACUCAUAUAUGUAAGUAAAUAAGUCAUCAUUGUGAACUUUUUUCCCUUUGAAAUAAUUUAAGUUGUCUCUUAUUUUCUCUAAGAAUAAAUUGGUGUAAUAGCUGAAAGCAAGUAUAUUAGAAUCAAAAACCUUGGAGUUCCCGUCGUGGCGCAGUGGUUAACGAAUCCGACUAGGAACCAUGAGGUUGCGGGUUCGGUCCCUGCCCUUGCUCAGUGGGUUAACGAUCCGGCGUUGCCGUGAGCUGUGGUGUAGGUUGCAGACGCGGCUCGGAUCCUGUGUUGCUGUGGCUCUGGCGUAGGCCGGUGGCUACAGCUCCGAUUCAGCCCCUAGCCUGGGAACCUCCAUAUGCCGCGGGAGCGGCCCAAGAAAUAGCAACAACAACAACAACAACAACAAAAAGACAAAAGACG
rnacentral:lncRNA from 1 species